rnacentral:rRNA from 1 species
UGGGGAAUAUUGGACAAUGGGCGCAAGCCUGAUCCAGCCAUGCCGCGUGAGUGAAGAAGGCCUUCGGGUUGUAAAGCUCUUUUGUCAGGGAAGAAACGGUAGUAGCGAAUAACUAUUACUAAUGACGGUACCUGAAGAAUAAGCACCGGCUAACUACGUGCCAGCAGCCGCGGUAAUACGUAGGGUGCAAGCGUUAAUCGGAAUUACUGGGCGUAAAGCGUGCGCAGGCGGUUGUGUAAGUCAGAUGUGAAAUCCCCGGGCUCAACCUGGGAAUUGCAUUUGAGACUGCACGGCUAGAGUGUGUCAGAGGGGGGUAGAAUUCCACGUGUAGCAGUGAAAUGCGUAGAUAUGUGGAGGAAUACCGAUGGCGAAGGCAGCCCCCUGGGAUAACACUGACGCUCAUGCACGAAAGCGUGGGGAGCAAACAGGAUUAGAUACCCUAGUAGUCCCUGAGCGGGCUGGCAAGGCGCAU